ACACGACUACAUUAGACUACCCGGUAGUCCUAGCCGUAAACGAUACUCGCUAGGUGUCGGCCACGGUGCGACCGUUGUCGGUGCCGUAGGGAAGCCGUGAAGCGAGCCACCGUGGGAAGUACCGGCCGCAAGGCUAGAAACUUAAAGGAAUUGGCGGGGAGCACAACAACGGGUGGAGCUUGCGGUUUAAUUGGAUUCAACGCCGGAAAUCUUACCGGGACCGACAGCAACAUGAAGGCCAAGCUGAAGACUUUGCCGGAUUAGCUG
rnacentral:rRNA from 1 species